ACUUGAGUCUGCCCUUACCUCGGUUUUACAGAGCUAAAAUUAUAGUCAGUACGAAUUUAAAACUAAAAAUACUCAAUCAUAUCGUUUUGCACUCUGCUCAGGGUCAGAACAAGAGAAAUAAAUUGUCUUGUGAAGACCUUUGUAAUGGAAACAACUCAAAGGCAUCUUUUGACAAGAAACCUAUGGCAGAAGUAAGGUUAUGACUAAGAAAUGACAGCAAGGAGGGAAGCUAUGCAAUGAAUUCAGUUUUUGGGUAGACGUGUGACUAGUACAUCCUCUUAUCUGAAUUAAGAUGCACGUAUUCCUAAUGACUACAAAGAGACCUGAGUGUCAAGGCUGCAAGCAAAUGAAAUUUUAAUUUCAACUGAUCCUGAAGACUUAACAGACAGAAGCUGUGCCUGAGGAAUCAGAAGCACAUUGUCUGAUGUUCCUGAAACCUUUUCUUUAUGAAGCCCUUGUGCAAUUUGAAGGCAAGAGAGAGGGAGUAAUGUUCUUUUCUGUUUCAUUUUGCUAACAAUUUUUGGAGCCAUUUGAAACCUCUGGAGACAAAUAUGUUCCUCUCUUAGAAGAUGUCACACUGUCUUGAAUAUGGUAACAGGAAUUGAAAUGUUGGGAAACUUCCUGCAACAUCUAUGAGAUCAAGUAUGUCUGGAUCUAUGUUACUUGGGAUCCCAGUCAGCUUUUAUGACAUGGAAAUGGAAUGACCUCUGUUUACCCUAAUGAGUCACUGGUAGAAACAAAUGCUACAUUACAUUGACAUGAUGUAUGAUAGCAACUUUGGGAGUCUUUAGGUUUGUUUUCAACAGUUUGGAAACUCACUCAUGUCUUAGAUAUUUCUGUAUUGAUGGAAAACAAUGUAAUGAAUAUUUAUAGACAAUAUAUGUGAUGAACAAGAGUGAGGAAGGAAGAAAAAUAAGGCCAGCUUCUAUUCUACUUGAAUGUGUUUUAUCUAACAAAUCCAAGACAGAAACAAGUUUUUACUGAAGGUAGCCUUUGACUGUAUAAAGCAAAAUAUGGAUAUUACUGUAAGUUCAAAACCAAGCUUGCUUUGACAAAAUCCGUACACAGGGAUUUACUUUAUGGUGAACUGCUAUAUUUAAUCUCUCUACACACUAUAGCCUUUGCUAAAAGAUACACUCCUUUAUGCUUCCUCGACAGUGUGCUGUUGACUUCCAAGCCCUAAUUCUCUGCUGACAGAUGCACAGAACCUGUGCCAAAAGAAUAUAAAAUGACAUAAUCAGGUUGUGGCAUAAUGUAUGAGGACAAGAGCCUGGAAAUACCACUCUUUCAGCCUUAGCUGUUGCUGUUCCUCUCUCCUCCAGUGAGUUCCAAGAAGAGUCAGACCUCAGCACCAAACAAAGCCAAGGCGAAAAAUCACAGUCACUGUAAUGUUAGCACAUCUUGGUGACAAAUUCUGUUGAUGUCCCAUCUGGAAAAAUUUAGAGACAAAGUACAAGGCUCACAUGGUUCUGAGAACUGCACCAUUUCUUCAGAGGGACAGAGACACAGUCAGCUAAGUUUAGGAAGAGGAACCAACAAUGAAGAAUAAGC